AUUGAACGCUGGCGGCAGGCCUAACACAUGCAAGUCGAGCGGAGCGGCGGACGGGUGGGUAAUGCCUAGGAAUCUGCCUGGUAGUGGGGGAUCACGUCCGGAAACGGGCGCUAAUACCGCAUACUAUCAGAUGAGCCUAGGUCGGAUUAGCUAUUGGGUGGGGUAGAGGCCUACCAGGGCGCCGAUCCGUAACUGGUUGGAGAGGAUGAUCAGUCACACUGGAACUGAGACACGGUCAAGACGCCUACGGGAGGCAGCAGUGGGGAAGAUUGGACAAUGGGCGAAAGCCGGACCCAGCCAUGCCGCGUGUGUGAAGAAGGUCUUCGGAUUGUAAAGCACUUUAAGUGGGGAGGCGGUACCAACAGAAUAAGCACCGGCUAACUUCGUGCCAGCAGCCGCGGUAAUUC
rnacentral:rRNA from 1 species